CACGAGGGACUUGAAGCCCGCGGCGUCGGAGGUGACGAACUGCGUCUCGAUGUAGGUGACCUUGACGCCAUUGCUGGCCAUGGAUCUUGCUUGGCCGAGCGCGCGCGUGCGUGCGUGCGGGUGGCUCCCCGUUCUGGAUUCGCUGACGACUUGUCCUCGCCGAAAAGGUGCGUGCUCUAGCUAGUCACAGGUUGUAUGCGUGCGCCUUGCUCUCCUCGCUUUUGGGGACAUUUAUAUAGUAAAACUCCAGAAAACAGAGACUUGGGACUGAGGUUUUGGAAAGGGAGAAGUAUUCUCAGGUUGGUGGUAGCGGC
rnacentral:lncRNA from 1 species